UUGAAGGUUGCUGAUUCUAAAUAUGCCAUUUAUGGAGAUUGGAUGUGUGGUUUUAAAGUUACAGAAUAUGUGUAAAAACUGUAUUUUUACUGUCUGUGUUUAAUUAUGUUAACCCAUUCUGUACCAUAAUUAUAUAACAGGCAAAGGGGAAGAUUUUUGUAUGUAAUUGCUGGGAGUGUUUCUGUAAUAUACGUGUAUGAUUGGUUGUUUUGUAAAACCCUGUGGGUGGUCCUAUCUAAGGGAAACCUGCAUAAAAGAAGGUUCUUUUGGUGCCAGUAAACUUAUUCUGCUUAACCCUCAAAUGAAGUCUCGUCUCGUUAUUGGGGGAAUUGGAUUGUAUGCUGACUGCCAGGAGUGUAAACCUUUCGUAUGUUUUUUCCUGUUCAGCUGUUUCCAGUAUUAGUGAGUUUCCUGUUCAGGAGUUGGAGAAUUCGUGUAGUUUGCAGUUCGGGAGAUUGGUGAUUGCAGUAGCUGUCUGUGCAUCUGAAAGGGGAAUAUCGCCUAAACGGUUUUUAACCUCUUGUGUGCAAAACGGUCCGUUACAAUUGGUGGCAAGUGACGGGAUCAUUUCCACAGCCCAGAAGGACAGCUAUAACACAACACCAGUUCCUGGAUUACAAAUUGUAGGCAAAACGCUAGUAUCCGUACAGCGACCCUAUCUACAAAAGAACCAACUUCAGCUGCGCAAGCAUGGUGCCCAACUACACUCAGGAGGCGUUUGAAAGAGAAGUUACUGCGCUGCUGGCUUACUUUGGAACCAGCCCCCCGGAGAAAACAGUACAGUUCAUGAAGAAAAUAGUGGGAGAGUACUUGCCAUGGGAAUCAGAGCGGGCAAGGGGGUGGGCCGUCUGUCCUCCCCAGCAGCCGUGUGAGUUACAGGGAGCUGAGGGUGUCGUCCUUCCUCCCCAGCGGCAGUGUGUGCCCCAGGGAGCUGAAGGUGCCGUCCUUCCUCCCCAGCGGCAGUGUGUGUCCCAGGGAGCUGAAGGUGUCGUUCUUCCUCCCCAGCAGCAGUGUGUGUCCCAGGGAGCUGAAGGUACCGUCCUUCCUCCCAGCGGCAGAGUGAGUUACAGGGAGCUGAAGGUGCCGUUCUUCCUCCCCAGCGGCAGUGUGUGUUCUUAGGAGAGGAGACAGUUGGUCCCUCUCCUCAGCAGUCAAGUGAGUCCCAGGGAGCCGAAGGUACCGUCCUUCCUCCUCAGCAGCAGGACAAUAUAUUGAAAGGGGAGAUAGUCGUUCCCCCCUUUCCCCCAGCAGAGAGAGUGUCAGGGAGAAGAGCUUGUUGCCCCCUC